rnacentral:misc_RNA from 1 species
GUGAAUCAUCAAAUCUUUGAACGCAAAUUGCACUCUCUUCGGAGAGUAUGCCUGUUUGAGGGUCAGUAUUAAUAAAAAUCGGUGUGUUGCUUCUUUGUGACGCUCCGGAGUUUGGGUCAUCUUAAUAUCCUUUAGGUUUUAAGAGGCUUAAAAUUGACUUUUUUUGCGCAUUUUAGAUGUACAUAAAUUCUUUUUUUAUUCUUCUUUCUUAUGCUCCAAAUUCUUAUUGAUUGCGACC